CUUGUGUAGGAUAGCUGGGAGACUGUGAAGCUUGGACGCCAGUUCAGGUGGAGUCGUCGUUGAAAUACCAGUCUGGUCGUGCUGGAUGUCUAACCUGGGUCCGUGAUCCGGAUCAGGGACAGUGUCUGAUGGGUAGUUUAACUGGGGCGGUUGCCUCCUAAAGAGUAACGGAGGCGCCCAAAGGUUCCCUCAGCCUGGUUGGCAAUCAGGUGUUGAGUGUAAGUGCWCAAGGGAGCUUGACUGUGAGACCGACGGGUCGAGCAGGGACGAAAGUCGGGACUAGUGAUCCGGCGGUGGCUUGUGGAAGCGCCGUCGCUCAACGGAUAAAAGGUACCCCGGGGAUAACAGGCUGAUCUUCCCCAAGAGUCCAUAUCGACGGGAUGGUUUGGCACCUCGAUGUCGGCUCGUCGCAUCCUGGGGCUGGAGUCGGUCCCAAGGGUUGGGCUGUUCGCCCAUUAAAGCGGUACGCGAGCUGGGUUUAGAACGUCGUGAGACAGUUCGGUCCCUAUCCGCUGUGCGCGUAGGAGUCUUGAGAAGGGCUGUCCCUAGUACGAGAGGACCGGGACGGACGAACCUCUGGUGUGCCAGUUGUCCUGCCAAGGGCAUGGCUGGUUGGCUACGUUCGGGAGGGAUAACCGCUGAAAGCAUCUAAGCGGGAAGCCUGCUUCGAGAUGAGGACUCCCACCCACUUGAUGGGGUAAGGCUCCCAGUAGACGACUGGGUUGAUAGGCCGGAUCUGGAAGCACGGUAACGUGUGGAGGUGACCGGUACUAAUAGGCCGAGGGCUUGUCCUCAGUUG
rnacentral:rRNA from 1 species